rnacentral:rRNA from 1 species
UUGCGGCCGUACCAUGCUGAAUAUACCGGUUCUCGUUAGAUCACCGAAGUCAAGCAUCAUUGGGCGCGGUCAGUACUUGGGUGGGUGACCACCUGGGAACACCGCGUGCCGUU